UACGGAGGAUGCGAGCGUUGUUCGGAAUUACUGGGCGUAAAGCGCGUGUAGGCGGCUUCUUAAGUCUGGUGUGAAAGCCCGGGGCUCACCCCCGGAAGUGCACUGGAAACUGGGAAGCUAGAGUACCGGAGAGGAGGGUGGAAUUCCUGGUGUAGCGGUGGAAUGCGCAGAUAUCAGGAGGAACACCAAUAGCGAAGGCAGCUCGCUGGGACGAAACUGACGCUAAGGCGCGAAAGCGUGGGGAGCGAACAGG
rnacentral:rRNA from 1 species